GGGCGUGGUUUAGAUGUUGUUAAUCCAGGGUUUCUGUGUGUGUGUGUUUGUGUCUCUGUGUUCGCUUGUUUUGGAAAGCACAUGAACGGGAGUCAUAAUUUCAGGUUUAGGUGACAAGGUAAAGAAGACAAAAGUUGCAAAGAAAAUGUGGCCCUGGAGCAAGAGGAAGAAUGAGAAGGAGGAUGACAAGGGCAAGUCCAAAAGUAAAGACGAGUCUAAAAAAAAGCACAAGUCAAAGAGUGGAGACGGCAAAGAUG